GUAUUAUCAAGUGUUUUCUUUUAUAUAUCGUUCCAAUUUUAUAGGAUGUCCUCAAGGACAUGCGUCUUUUUCUGAAAAUUGGCAAAUAGACUCAAUAGUCUCUGUGGACCAAAGCUAUCAUUACCUCCCCAUAACCACCAGAAAAAAAAGUAGAAGCAUUUGAAUGGAUGCUUAGUUUCAGCAGCACAAGUUCAAAUUCACACCCCUGAUUUUGGUCUCCAUACUGUCUGUGUUUGAACACGAAUAGCUUGUGUGGGUCCCUGCACCGUUGAAUUCUGAUUCCUAUUCAUCCUUUUGUCCUGAAGCUGAUGAGCUUGUAAUGGGGGAUUGAUGGGUCUCUGUGCCUGAGGCUGAUGUUGUGCUCGUAAUGGUGGAUGUAUAGCUCUCUGGGCCUGACGCUGAUGAUGUGCUUGUAAUGGUGGAUGUAUAGCUCUCUGGGCCUGACGCUGAUGAUGUGCUU
rnacentral:misc_RNA from 1 species